GUGGUUGUAGUUUGUGAGGUUGAAGUUUAUUCCUUACCUAUUCUUGAUAACCUUCUUCCUUUAUGAACAGCUUUCUUCAAAAAAGAUUUGGCUGUCAACCAACCUGCUACUCAAGCAUCUGU